GCCCAUUCGACGCAUUAGACAAGGAAAGGCAGUAUUAACGGCUGGAUCUGUGUACAGACAAGGGAGACGGUUCUCCUGUGGAGAGGGCCUACACGUCCUGGACCAGCCGGUCCGACGGUCAGCCGGUCAGGACAGGAGGAGGAGAGACGUUUCACUGGCAGCCUGCAGCUUUUGGUGUCUUCAUCAGAAAGGUUAACUCCUCUCCUCCGUUGAGGAAUGACCUGCAGGGCAGACCUCACCGCUGGGGAAGGAAAACGAGAGCUCUGAAGACAUUGUGGCAGCUCAGCUGAAGGGAGAGGUGUGCUGAGGUGAAGCUUAAACACACACUCAACUCUACACAGCUGAAACCAUAAAGCACAUAUGUGAAUCAUUUGCCGUUUAAUACAUUAAAAGUUGUUUAUGUGUGACCACAGAGUUUGUCUGUAUUAGUGGAAAUAAGUGCACAGAUGCGCACUGACAUUUAUUUUCUUUCAGAACACUAAUAAAAGCAAUUUGUAUAA